CAGCCGCCGCGGGAAUACGAAGGGUGCAAGCGUUAAUCGGAAUUACUGGGCGUAAAGCGUGCGUAGGCGGUGAGUUAAGUCUGCUGUGAAAUCCCCGGGCUCAACCUGGGAAUGGCAGUGGAUACUGGCUCGCUAGAGUGUGUCAGAGGAUGGUGGAACUCCCGGUGUAGCGGUGAAAUGCGUAGAGAUCGGGAGGAACAUCAGUGGCGAAGGCGGCCAUCUGGGACAACACUGACGCUGAGGCACGAAAGCGUGGGGAGCAAACAGGAUUAGAUACCCCGGUAGUCCCUGUCUCUUAUAA
rnacentral:rRNA from 1 species